AUGGUGGGGAACCUGGAGCUGGGUGACGGGCCCCAUGCCCGCGCAGCUCUGGGUCACCCAGCCAGGAAGGGCGCCGGGUGGCGGUGUGCGCCCGCUCCAGCCCGGAUCUCGGGGGAUAUUCGGGAAGACUGGGGGAGGGGAGUGGAGGCUCAGCCCCCUGGCACUGGGCCCACCCCUAAGCCCCGACUCCCGGCCUCCCCCGGACCCUCCGGCGUCUCCCCCGGCACCCUGCUCGCUCCCCCUACGCCCUGCCGGGCGCCGAAGGGGUCAUCCCUGCUUCCCCGCCGGGAUCCGGGCCCCGCCGACUCACGCGGGGCAGACGCAGGUCCACGGCCUCGCCGAGCUGCCCGAGCCUGGCGCCCAAUCGCACGACACUCCCGGACUCCCGGCAGCCGAGCGGGCGGGGAACGGCGGGCGGAGUCGGCGCUCCGGCGGGCGGGGGGCGCAGGGGCGGGCAGGGGGCGGAGUCGCCGCUCCUUCGGGCGGGGGGCGGAGUUAUCUUUCCGGCGGGCUGGGGGCGCGCGGGGGGCGGAGUCGACGCUCCAGUGGGCGGGGCGGGGGCGGAGCCGGCGCUCGUGCGGGCGUGGGGAGCUCGGUGGGCGCGCGGGGGUCGCGGUCGGCCUUCCCGCGGGCUGGGGGUGGGCGCGGAGGCUGGUCGGGGUCCGCGUGCUUGCUGGAGGCGCGGGGGACGCGCGCGCAGCGGGAGAGUCAGAGUUCCCGCAACCGGGCGGGGCUGGCGCGCCCCCACCCGGACUCCGAGCCCUGGCCCAGGGAGGUGUCGCUGGCCCGCUGGACGCAGGCCGCUGGACAUCGCGGGGCAGCCGGGCGACGCUCCGCGAGCGUGUGUGGGCGGGGGCGGCCCCUCUCCGGGAAGGCUCGCGUGGCUUCUGCCCAGUGCGGUGGGAGCGUUUCCGACCCUGGGGCCGGCUGAGGGCGGCGAGGAGGCAGGGACCUUGCCCCUGGCACGUCGCGCCCUCUGCUCCGGGCUGCCUGUGGUCCUCGGCUCCCGGCCUCGCCUCGGGGCUGAGCCGUGAGCUCUCCCGUGGGUUGGGGAGGGAGGUCGGAGGGGGGCAGUGGUGGCGGGCCACAGGGAUCCCCGGCGACGGUCCAUCUUUGCUCGUUCUGGACCCCUUUUUCCUCUGGGCGCAGGGCCGCUUCUUAUGUGGCUGCGCCCCCCUGGGCCAAGACACUCCGCCAGGAUGCUCUCAGGCCCCCAGCUCACUCUGCAGCCGGGUGGGGCGGGUGGGGGGGGGUCCGUUCCCAAAGCCAGCCUGA
rnacentral:lncRNA from 1 species